GACGAACGCUGGCGGCGUGCCUAAUACAUGCAAGUUGAGCGCUGAAGGUUGGUACUUGUACCAACUGGAUGAGCAGCGAACGGGUGAGUAACGCGUGGGGAAUCUGCCUUUGAGCGGGGGACAACAUUUGGAAACGAAUGCUAAUACCGCAUAAAAACUUUAAACACAAGUUUUAAGUUUGAAAGAUGCAAUUGCAUCACUCAAAGAUGAUCCCGCGUUGUAUUAGCUAGUUGGUGAGGUAAAGGCUCACCAAGGCGAUGAUACAUAGCCGACCUGAGAGGGUGAUCGGCCACAUUGGGACUGAGACACGGCCCAAACUCCUACGGGAGGCAGCAGUAGGGAAUCUUCGGCAAUAGACGAAAGUCUGACCGAGCAACGCCGCGUGAGUGAAGAAGGUUUUCGGAUCGUAAAACUCUGUUGGUAGAGAAGAACGUUGGUGAGAGUGGAAAGCUCAUCAAGUGACGGUAACGACCCAGAAAGGGACGGCUAACUACGUG
rnacentral:rRNA from 1 species